GGCCGGCUGGAGACGGCUUCCGGUUCCAACUCCAGGCCUCACCAGCUGGCGCGUGGAGCGGUCGGAUACCCAGUGCCAGGGCCCGUUUAGACGGCUGGUUUAACGAAUUGGCCUAAAAUGAAUUUUGAGUUAGAGCUUUUGAACACUACGGUUGCACACAUAAAGCUCACUUCACACCCCACCCCACCCCCGCAAGUCCUUCAUGGCCACUAAUCCGGUCUUUAUGAUACUUAUGUUGGGUGAACUUGGAGAUAGCAACUUUGUAGUUCUUGGUGACAACUGGAAAAUGUAAAUCUACCCUAUACUUUUUGAGACUUUGAUUUCAUUUAAAUAAAUUAAUCCCC
rnacentral:lncRNA from 10 species